AUCACUUCUCGGCCUUUUGGCUAAGAUCAAGUGUAGAAUCUCAACAGUAUUUUUUUUAUAUGGAAGAAGAAAUGUUU
rnacentral:snRNA from 1 species